AGCAGCCGCGGUAAUUCCAGCUCCAAUAGCGUAUAUUAAAGUUGUUGCAGUUAAAAAGCUCGUAGUUGAAUUUCGGGAUCAUCAGGUUGGUCGUGCCGCUGGUAUGCACUGGCCUUGGUGAUUCCUCCUUCUUGAGGAGCCGUGAUGCCAUUCAGUUGGUGUUGCGGGGAAUCAGGACUGUUACUUUGAAAAAAUUAGAGUGUUUAAAGCAGGCUCACGCUUGAAUACAUUAGCAUGGAAUAAUAGAAUAGGACGUUCGAUCCUAUUUUGUUGGUUUCUAGGGUUGACGUAAUGAUUAAUAGGGAUAGUUGGGGGCAUUAGUAUUCAAUUGUCAGAGGUGAAAUUCUUGGAUUUAUUGAAGACUAACUACUGCGAAAGCAUUUGCCAAGGAUGUUUUCAUUAAUCAAGAACGAAAGUUAGGGGAUCGAAGACGAUCAGAUACCGUCGUAGUCUUAACCAUAAACUAUGCCGACUAGGGAUCGGAUGAUGUUAAUUUUUAAUGACUCAUUC
rnacentral:rRNA from 1 species